UCCUCCAGCCAGGUCCAGACAUGAUGACGAUCCCGUAGUGGCGCCCCCAGUCCUCCAGCCAGGUACAGACAUGAUGACCGAUCCCGUAGUGACGCCCCCAGUCCCCCAUCCAGGUCCAGACAUGAUGACCGAUCCCGUGGUGAUGCCCCCAGCCCCCCGGCUAGGUCCAGACUUGAUGAAAGAGCACAGCGAAGUGAUGACCGAUCCCGUAGUGAUGCCCCCAGUCCUCCGGCCAGGUCCAGACAUGAUGUUAGAUCGCGGCGAUGUGAUGCCCGAUCCCGUAGUGAUGCCCCCAGUCCCCCGGCCAGGUCCAGACAUGACAGACCCUGGCAUGGUGAUCUCAGCAGCCCCCCCUAUGACAGGCAUGAUGCAGUGACUGAGACUGGGAGAUGGGCCUUCCCAUUGCCUUGGGAUGUGUUCCAGAAAAGUCCUGAGCCUACUGGUCGAAAUCGUCUGAAGGAAACACAGCCUGCCUCUUCAGCUGUCCAUAUUGAGAGGAUUUGAGUUACAGGAGCAACGCCUCUCUGAUGCACAGACCUUUGAUACCCUAGUGCUGCAAAUUUCAAGAAUUGGUGGGCGGAACACCAAGGACUGUGCUGGGUUGGACAGGCUCUUCACCAACAGCCUCAUGGCCAAAUUUAAUUUGAAGGGCAAGGGGAAAAAGGGGAAACGUCCUUUAGAGGGAACAAAGGUUUAUAGAGCAAUACAAAGGCUCAUGAAAUCCGAUCCCACAGCCACCGAGGAGAACAUCAAAGCAUUC